rnacentral:hammerhead_ribozyme from 1 species
AUCCAUGUGACGUGUCCCAAACAGGACGAAACACGCGUCUUGAAU